rnacentral:rRNA from 1 species
UUGAUUAAUUACAAUUUUAUUCGCCAGGGAACUACGAGCGUCAGCUUAAAACCCAAAGGACUUGGCGGUGCCCUACACCUCCUAGAGGAGCCUGUUCUAUAAUCGAUGAUCCACGAUACACCUCACCGUUUCUUGCCAAAACCGCCUAUAUACCGCCGUCUCCAACUUACCCUAUGAAGGAUUUACAGUAAGUUCAAAGAUUACUCAUCAGAACGUCAGGUCAAGGUGUAGCGAAUGAAACGGGAAGAAAUGGGCUACAUUUUCUAUUUUAGAUCACACGGACAGUCAGUAUGAAACCUGAUUAUGAAGGAGGAUUUAGCAGUAAAAAGAAAUCAGCAAGUUCUUUUUAAGUCGGACCUAGGGCGCGUACACACCGCCCGUCACC